GUUAAAUAUUUUUUUUCAUCAAUAAUUUUAUUUGUUUUUAUUUUAAUUUUGAUUCUUAUUUACUUAAAUUGUGCCAUUCUGUAUACAGUGGAACAUGUAUUGUAUUUUAAAGACUAUUAAACACAUGCACACAUGUUUAUAAUCUAAAUAGUAAAAAGUAAAAUCACAAAAAUACUGAACUCCGAGGAAAAUUCAAAACGGAAAGUCCAUAAUCAAAUGACAAAAUCAAAUGAUAAAACACACCAAAUGAAUGGACAACAACUGUCAUAUUCCUGACUUGGUACAGGCAUUUUCAAAUGUAGAAAAUGGUGGAUUGAAUUUGGUUUUAUAGCGCUAAACCUCUCACUUGUAUGACAGUCACAUCAAAUAGUCAAAAUAUAUCAGUUUUGAGAAACGUAUAAUAGAUCUAGAAAAUCUGACCCUAAAUACAAUUCCACUGUCGACAAAUGGCCUAUUAUAUAAAUGAUAGGAGUACUGUGAUUAACAUUGAAUCUUACCAUACUACCUCUGCUUAUAUCAUUUUCAGUGUACUCAAGAUGGAUCCAUUUUAUCAUAGAACUAAAAAAACAAAUCCAAAUUAUAAUGAAUAACACAAGACCAAAAAUUUAUUUAGAAAAAAACAAUAGCCAAA
rnacentral:lncRNA from 1 species